UCUUGAUGUGUUGAUCUUGUAACUUUGCUGAAUUUGUUUAUGAGCUAUUGUACCUUCUUGUGGGUUCUUUUGGAUUUUCUAUAUGUAGGAUUAUGUCAUCUUCAAAUAGAGAUCGUUUUACCACUUCCCAUCCAUUUGGGUGUUUUUCAUUUCUUUUUUUUUCUAUGUAGGGGCCAGCCCUACAGGGUCUGUGGGUUUUUCUCCCCAUGUGCAGAGACAAGAGAUUGUAGAAAUAAAGACACAAGACAAAAAGAUAGAAGAAAAGACAGUUGGGCUCGGGGGACCACUACCACCAAGACGUGGAGACCAGUAGUGGCCCCGAAUGCCUGGCUGUGCUGUUAUUUAUUGGAUACAAAGCAAAAGGGGCAGGGUAAAGAGUGUGUCAUCGCCAAUGAUUGAUAAGGUCACGUGAGUCAUGUGUCCACUGGAGCAUCACAGGGAGACGGUUAGGCCUCCAGAUAACUGCGGGCGGGCCUAACUGAUGUCAGGCCCUCCACAAGGGGUGGUGGAACAGAGUCUUCUCUAAACUCCCCUGGGGAAAGGGAGACUCCCUUUCCUGGUCUGCUAAGUAGCGGGUGCUUUUCCUUGGCACUGACGCUACAGCUAGACCAUGGUCUGCUUGGUAAUGGGCAUCUUCCCAGAUGCUGGCGUUACCGCUAGACCAAGGAGCCCUCUAGUGGCCCUGUCUGGGAGUUACAGAGGGCUCAUACUCUUCUGGUCACUUCUCACCGUGCCCCUUCAGCUCCUAUCUCUGUAUGGCCUGGUUUUUCCUAGGUUAUAAUUGUAGAGCAAGGAUUAUUAUAAUAUUGGAAUAAAGAGUAAUUGCUACAAACUAAUGAUUAAU
rnacentral:lncRNA from 1 species